AUCUACAGCCAUACCACCCUGAAUGUGCCUGAUCUCGUCUGAUCUCAGAAGCUAAGCAGUGUUGGGCCUGGUUAAUACUUGGAUGGGAGAAACCCAGAUUCCAGAGACA
ensembl:rRNA 5S_rRNA 5S ribosomal RNA